GGUCAGGCGGGACUACCCGCUGAGUUUAAGCAU
rnacentral:rRNA from 1 species